rnacentral:rRNA from 1 species
CAGUCGCCGCGGGAAUACGUAGGGUGCGAGCGUUAAUCGGAAUUACUGGGCGUAAAGCGUGCGCAGUCGGUUGUGUAAGACAGCUGUGAAAUCCCCGGGCUUAACCUGGGAACUGCGCUUGUGACUGCACAGCUAGAGUAUGGCAGAGGGGGGCGGAAUUCCACGUGUAGCAGUGAAAUGCGUAGAUAUUAGGAAGAACACCAACGGCGAAUGCACUCUGCUGGGCCGACACUGACGCUGAGAGACGAAAGCUAGGGGAGCAAAUGGGAUUAGAUACCCCGGUAGUCCCUGUCUCUUAUAC